UACGAAGGGGGCUAGCGUUGCUCGGAAUCACUGGGCGUAAAGGGUGCGUAGGCGGGUCUUUAAGUCAGGGGUGAAAUCCUGGAGCUCAACUCCAGAACUGCCUUUGAUACUGAGGAUCUUGAGUUCGGGAGAGGUGAGUGGAACUGCGAGUGUAGAGGUGAAAUUCGUAGAUAUUGGGAAGAACACCAGUGGCGAAGGCGGCUCGCUGGCCCGUAACUGACGCUGAGGUGCGAAAGCGUGGGGAGCAAACAGG
rnacentral:rRNA from 1 species